AGAAUCAACGCUGGCGGCGUGCCUAACACAUGCAAGUCGCACGAGAAAGGGGAGCAAUCCCUGAGUAAAGUGGCGCACGGGUGAGUAACACGUGAAUAAUCUACCUCCGAGUGGGGAAUAACUGAGAGAAAUCUUAGCUAAUACCGCAUAACACUUACGAGUCAAAGCAGCAAUGCGCUUGGAGAGGAGUUCGCGGCCGAUUAGUUAGUUGGCGGGGUAAUGGCCCACCAAGACGAUGAUCGGUAUCCGGCCUGAGAGGGCGCACGGACACACUGGAACUGAAACACGGUCCAGACUCCUACGGGAGGCAGCAGUGGGGAAUUUUGCGCAAUGGGGGAAACCCUGACGCAGCAACGCCGCGUGGAGGAUGAAGCCCUUGGGGUGUAAACUCCUUUCGAUCGGGAAGAUAAUGACGGUACCGAUAUAAGAAGCCCGGCUAACUUCGCGCCAGCAGCCGC
rnacentral:rRNA from 1 species